UCUUUUUCCUUUCAUUCCCAGACUUCCACUCACCCAACAACCUACGCAAAACCCUUCCAAAACGUGACUCCUUUCUUCCUUCCACGCGAAACCCACAACCCGGCCAAGCAUCCGGCCAUGGAUUUGGUCAUGGAUUCAACUGUUCAGACUAUUAUUGUAGUAGCAGUUGUUCCUCAUGCAGCUUGAAUCUUUAGAUAAAGUAACUGAGGAUGUCAAUCUUGUGGCUCGCAUCAGAAAUGUUUUUCUAACUCUCCAGGAGUCAUCAGCAGGGCAUAUUAAGCCAAUGCAGUCAUGUAAAAGCUCAGGAUACGUGGCAGACAUUCCAUCUAGAAGCUUAGC